UCCCUGGUGGUCCAGUGGCUAGGAUGCCGUGUUUCCAAUGCAGGGGGCCUGGGUUUGAUCCCCGGUCAGGGAA
rnacentral:tRNA from 1 species